CAUGAUAGUACCCUGCCACGGUAC
rnacentral:siRNA from 1 species